CGGCUCUGUGCCAAGCCCAGGUCAUGUUCCCAGCUUUGAACACAACUCUGUGGCCCUGACUUGAAUUUCUACCUCUGUAUCCUCCCAUCAAGUCUGUGGCCCACCCCUCUCCCUUACAGCUCCCACAGCUCAGAAGUCAGCGGAGCAGAGUCCCCAGGAAACCAGGGUCAGGGAUGGAGGCUGCUGAGGAGCGGGUCUGGGAGGUGGAGGCCAGAUACAAGUAAACCACAGUACCAGUAAAUGACAAAGGCUGGAUCUUAACCCAAGUCCUCCGACUCUGAAGGCCAUACCCAACAGGUCCCAUUUUAUUUGUUUUACUUUUUUUAAAUUGAAGAAGAAAAAAACUAGCAUUCCCCUACAGUGCCCCCCACCUGGUGGGGACAUCUUGGGUUGGCAAGGCCACCACUUUCAAGAGUAGAAGUGUUUUUCAGCAGGAGGAGUUGGCUG
rnacentral:lncRNA from 1 species